rnacentral:rRNA from 1 species
ACCGGCAGCUCAAGUGGUGGCCAUUUUUAUUGGGCCUAAAGCGUUCGUAGCCGGCUUGAUAAGUCUCUGGUGAAAUCCCACAGCUUAACUGUGGGACUUGCUGGAGACACUAUUAGGCUAGAGGGCGGGAGAGGAUGGAGGAACUCCCAGUGUAGGGGUAAGAUCAUAUAAUCCUGGGAGAAACACCUGUGGCGAAGGCGACUACCUGGAACUGGACUCACGAUGAGUCACCAAAGCCGGGAGGGCAAUCCG